CCGCGAUAUUUUGAUCGUGCUAAGGUAGCAUAAUCAUUAGUUUUUUAAUUAAAAGCUAGAAUGAAGGGCUGGAUGAAAAAAAAUCUGUCUUAAUUUAAUUUUUGUAGAAUUUUAUUUUUAAGUUAAAAAGCUUAAAUUUUAUUUAAAGACGAGAAGACCCUUUAGAGUUUAAUAUUUAUUUUUAUUUUUAUUUUUAGAAUUUAAUUUUAAAUUGUAAUUAUAAUUAUUUGAUUGGGGUGAUUAAAAAAUUUAAUUAACUUUUUUUUUAUUUUUAUAUAAUUAUAUAGAUUUUUGAUCCAAUUGUUUUGAUUAGAAGAUAAAAUUACCUUAGGGAUAACAGCGUAAUUUUAUUGGAAAGUU
rnacentral:rRNA from 1 species